UUUUCCUUGAUUAGAUAUCUAACAUUGCAUUCUAAUUAUUUCAUGUUGCUGCUUGCAUCACUUUUUCAGGUGUUGUGAUCUGGAGAUGCUCAAGUAGUCAUAUUCGUCCAUCACGUCACUGCAUAUGCAUACGCCUCUGAUUUUUGACUCCUGGUACAUACUCUUCCCAAGUUCCCCUUGGUGGCUAAUUCUGUAUUUUUUUUGCUUAAUUCAAAUCUGAAUUAAUAAUUCAGAUUUUUUGUUUCCUUGAUUGAAAUCUGAAUUAAAUUUUGCUUCAUUGCUAUGUAACACUGCCUUCUAAUCCGAAAAAUCUGACAGAUAUCACAACACUCAUAUGCUUAUAAAGCACAUGUUUCAUAAUAACUAGAUGAACUACAUACAUGCUCUCCUUUUUAUUGAUUAGUUGGUUUAGCCCCUAAACUAUCUUAUAUUAUCUAAAAGAAGGCAGGCAUAAUUAGUUUUCCUGCAAUUUUUGUUAGUUCUCUGUAUUGUUUUUGUUGAUUUUUUAUCUAUUCUUCUAUAUCCACUCAUACAGUAGCAGUACGUAUGUACAAUAUUUUGGAAUGCAGCUCAAAGGAAUAGGAACGUUUCCCACAAAAAAAGGAAUAGGACUGUGCUCCUCCCAAAAGACAAAAGCAAGACAAUGCAGACAAUAAAAAUCCAGCACCAACAAUGAAUAGCCGGAGUAAACAAAACAAGCAGGCCAAAUCGUGUCGGCCCUCGAGGAAGGGUUGCAGUGUCGAGGAGCAGCAGGCAUGUAAAUCUGACUGCAAUUCAUGUCACGGUGGAUGGUUUGAGAGGAGGGAGGCAGAGCAGAGACAAACGGCGCAUUCCGUCAUGCAUGUGUGUGGAUUUGUAUCAUCCUACUACUGUGUUGCUUUGUUUUAUAGUAAUAAAUAAAGAGAUGAAUCAGAUUUUCUUUGGUUCGUUAGCAAAAUUUUACACAUCAAGUAUUUGAUCUCAGAUCUUCUAUUUCGGUUUGGUAUAUGAGCCUUUUGCCCA